UUCAUGAAGAAAUUAAUUGAUCCAUGUCUAUGAAUGUAUGUUGAUUGGUGUAUUUAAAUUACUGAUAAAG